UCCUCCCACCAGAAUCGGUCGUCAGAACAGGUUUGGCUCGCGAGAGCUCACGCCGCUCCCCGCUCCCUCCACCACGCGUGCCUCCACCUCCGCCACCCCGCACGCCGCCUACCGUCCCUUGCCAUCGAGCGCCACCUGCCCUCCACCGCGCGUGUGCCUCCUGCUCCCGCCACCCCGCGCGUCGCCUGCCUCGACGGAGACGGAGUCGUGUUGCUCCUCGGCGGCGAGGCCAGCCAAGAGCCAACCUCCACCGACAUCGGGAUCGCUUCCGCUGGCCGUGUGUUCUCUCAGCCACGUCCUCUCGUUGUUGCGGUGUCCCACCAGUGGCCUUGGGACCCCUCGCAGGCAAGCACCAUUGCUGGAUUGGAUUCGUGGGCUUUUCGUCGCCAACCUAACCCCUCACUGGAAAUCCCAAUGGUUUGCAGGUAACUUGGAUGCAAAUUCUUAAUGCUAUUGUCAGGAUUCACCGCACGAGGGAGCAGAUUCCUGCAUCUAAUAAUUUCGUUUCUUCAAGACAAAUAGAGCUCUGGCCUCUGAGCUCUUCUGUAUUUUGCUUGCAACUAUUUUACAGCAAAUAGCUAGCUGGUUUUCAACUAACAUCAUGAGAUGGCUGGCAUAUCCAAAGACAGAAGGGAAAGUAAUAUGUAUGCUGUGACGGGGAGAUCCAAAGGAUACGGGUCUCCGUCAGGUUCUCUUCAGAAAAUGAAGCAGUUGUAGCAUUGGAGAAGAUGGGCAAUGAGGUGCUUGACGGAAGGAACAUACAUACGCACUAUGCAAACAUCAGGAGCCUGUUAACUACCUAGGGAAGGUGGCUAUAAACAUUGCAAAUUCACAACCUGGAAUCGUUGCCGAUGGCUUCAAUCACAAACUACUAUAGAGAAGAGAAGGAAGAAGAAGAGAGUUUCCAAUACAACCACGAGUGAAGCCACGGACAUUGUCCCGAAGUGAAUACUUGUUUAGAACAAUACUUGUGUUGAACUGAAUGCUUUCCUUCGGUUGGAUUGUAUAAACUUGGUAUUGCUAAAUAGUGCAAUCAAAUAGUAGUAUUAAAUUAGAAGGCAUUUGUGCCUGUUUAAAAGUGUGUGAAAUAUAAAUAGCGCAUAAAAAUACGUCCAUGCAUGAAAGUGCCGUACAUGAAUGAUUGUUGAGGCCUUUUUCAAAUGAGCCUCACUUUGAA